AAAACCCUUUUCUUCUUCUUCCUCACGCCGCCUGAGACCCCAGUCCCCCUCUGUUUUCGUUUUCUCUAGCACCCUCACCGAAACCCGACCUCCAGUCGCCGUCGAUGCAGCUUCAUGACCAUGCCGCUCGCCGUCGCGUUGACCCCACCCCCUUCAGUCGAUCUUCUCCGCACAUCUCACCUAACGGUUCCGUCCGCGAGCAACGCGAAACCCUUCAGCCGUCGACCUACGCUUCUAGCCGGGCCGCGAGUGAACCCACCAACGACCGCCGCUGCUAGAUACGUCGGAUCACUUUUCCCUGCAGCCAAUCUGUCGACCCGCCAUUUUUCUACCCACAUCGUCAUUCUAAUCGACGCUCAACCUUGGGUUUUCGCCGGAAUCUUGGAUUUGGAUUGGAGUUGGGAAUUGUUGAAGCGGCCCUCCAUCGGAUUCAAGGUUGUUCGAUAGGUGUUUUGGGGAAAGGUAGAGAUGCACCGGCGAUUGACAAACAGAAUUCGUGGUCGAGCCACUGAGACCAGUUUUAUGCUUUCGCUCAUGAUGUUUAGAUUUCUUUCAAUGUUUUUCAACUUUCAAUUUGAUGUUUGAAACUUACUAUUAAGAUUUGUUUUCAGGCCUAUAUAUUAUCAUUUAUGAUUUAUGGGUACCCUAUCGUCUGUUUUUAAUACCUGAAUUUAAUGAACGUCUUUUGAGUACAA